AGGUCGGAGGGAUAUUUAUACCCAUACACUUCACGAGCUACCCUUGAUAGUAGAGUGCUCCGUAGUUGGUCACGUUCUGUGAUAAUGUACUCCUACAUCUCACCUGCAUGCUAUACUAGUAUCUCCAUACCAUUUGGUUACGAGGACAACCAAUGCAUAUGGCACACAACGACCUACACUUUAUAUCGCUAUUGUCCUUGUAAUAGCAUAUCGUUUGGUCGCGAACCAAUUUAAGGACUAUGCGAUAAAUCCUCCUUUAUCGAUCAAAAUAGUCUUAAGGACUUCAUCACAAUAUAGGAGUUUGUUAGAAGAUGUAUCCUUGUAA
rnacentral:lncRNA from 1 species